rnacentral:lncRNA from 1 species
AUGGAGUCGCUUCAAGCCCGAUUGGUCCUGGUAUGUCCAUCAACAUUCAAUGCAGCAAUGGCUUAAUUCACAGUACCAAUAUAAGCACAGUGAACUUGGAGAAAUCCUGUGUUUCAGUGGAAUGGACCGAAGGUGGUACCAAACCCCAAUUUGCAAAGUGAUUGAUGACAUGGCUGCAAUAACCCCAGAGCUUCUUUCCUUAUGAAGGAAUGACAGUCUGACACUGCAAGAAAAUGUAACCACUCCAAAACAAAAUGAAAAUCAGUCAUCUACAAAAUUCCAUUUCCAAAAGAAAGCCUCUGAAACUUCUCCACUAACAUGUCCACUGUCUCAGAGGUUUGAAUCCGUGCUCAGGAGAAUAAAAUGGAGGUGGAACUGCCUGUGCCUUCAAACUCUUGCAAAAACAGUUUCCCAUUCCCACCAGCCACCCUAGGCCCUCCUGCUCC